rnacentral:rRNA from 1 species
GAUGAACGCUGGCGGCGUGCCUAAUACAUGCAAGUCGAACGAAACUUCUUUAUCACCGAGUGCUUGCACUCACCGAUAAAGAGUUGAGUGGCGAACGGGUGAGUAACACGUGGGCAACCUGCCCAAAAGAGGGGGAUAACACUUGGAAACAGGUGCUAAUACCGCAUAACCAUAGUUACCGCAUGGUAACUAUGUAAAAGGUGGCUAUACUACCGCUUUUGGAUGGGCCCGCGGCGCAUUAGCUAGUUGGUAGGGUAAAGGCUUACCAAGGCAAUGAUGCGUAGCCGAAUUGAGAGGUUGAUCGGCCACAUUGGGACUGAGACACGGCCCAAACUCCUACGGGAGGCAGCAGUAGGGAAUCUUCCACAAUGGGCGAAAGCCUGGUGGAGCAACGCCGCGUGGGUGAAGAAGGUCUUCGGAUCGUAAAACCCUGUUGUUAGAGAAGAAAGUGCGUGAGAGUAACUGUUCACGUUUCGACGGUAUCUAACCGGAAAGCCACGGCUAACUACGUG